AAAAGUAAUCCAAAUGUACAUUACUUUUAUAUCGAUAUCGGUACUUUUAAAUGAAUGCAACCCUGUUGUAAUCGUAAAUCGUAUAUAUCGAUAUACAGUGCUAUCAGUUGUUACUUGUGAAAUUUUUACGGGCAAUAACCCAUUUAUGGAAUUGGCAACAUUUGCUCUACAACUGCUGUCGCUGCCCUGGUCAAAGGCAGAAGUUGCCAAGCUAAUUUGGUAACCGAAUGCAAAUAGGUAAAUCAGGUUUGGGCUACGCCGGAAAGGCGUAUGUAUAAUAUGUUGCCAUGAAUAUGCCAUCCCAUGAAUAUUCAAAAAUGAUUGAAAGCAACAAAUCUACAAAACUUCAAAGUUUAGAAGCUUGCAAUGAUGAAAUUGACGUUGUUCUAAACGAGUUGGCAACCAAUAAAGAGUGAUAUUACAUAAAA